GGAGAGAGAGCGCGGGCGGGCGGUAGAGGAGGGUGGCGGGCGCCGACGUCGCAGUCGAGGGGGAGCAGGGCCAGUCGGCCGGAGCUGGAGGCCGGCGCUGGAGGAAGGAGCGGCGAGGAGAGAGGCGCCGGCCAUCGGGGACCUCCUAGCCCUCUUCUCCUUGUCGCCAUGGCAGGUGGAGCUCGAGCCAUCGGUCAGCCUCCCCCUCCCCAUGCGUAGAACAAUGUGUGCAGAUCUGUAAAAGAAGAGAAGAGGAAGAAUCCCAAGGAAGAGUUUGGUGAAGAAGAAUAAGGUGACUAUGUGAGUUGCAUUGACAGAAUCCAUGUAUUAAGCUGGGGCAUUUUUGGCAGCUGCAGCAACCUGACAAUUCAUUUGUUCUCAUACAAGAUGCUUGUGAAGUACAUGGGGAAGGCGCGCAUGGUUGAUAAUUAUGUUCUGGAUUGGAGGCCGAAGCAAACUCCGUCAGGUUUCAGAUAAUUACUUCAGGUUAGGCGGGAGAAAUAAAAAGGGUAACCAUAGAUAUAUGGUGUAGCAUCAUGAGGUUCAGGUUCCUGCUGUUGAUCAACCGUUGCUUCGGUCGAGUGCGAACCCGGAUCAGUUGCUGCUCCAAACCAGACAAUUUGGAGGAUGAAUCUUAUGUUCAUUGGUUUCUGAUGAAGGAAAGUAUCCUAUGUGCAGAGCAGAGUAGAUAUAAAGUUCAGUUCUAUGGUCCUGCUCAGAUGUUAUAUCUUGAAUGCAUUUAACUUUCAUCGAUGCUCCCACUAAGUCUUUGUUGAUGCAGCUGAUUCGGGUUACUACAAAUGAACCACAGCUAGCAUGUCAGGCCAAAGUAGAAGAGUUGGCAGGAUUGUAUGCUUCUAUCUCAAAAGAAGGUUUUCUGUUUGUCAACUCUACAUCAGGCCAAGAGCUAGCUUAUGUCUCACUCACAAUAUCAUAACUUCCCGACAAUAGUGCUACAUGCUUCGGUUAGUCUCUUUCUUGUGCACAUUUAUUUGCUGGUGAGGGAAGCAGUUUUAACAUGUGUGUUUUCCCUAUGCUGGCAUUUGCUUCUUCCGAUAAUUAAUAUUAGUUAUCCAUUUGCAGUAUAGUUAAUCUCUCUAAUGAGUAACAUUGUUAUUGCAAAUGAUCUCGGUAUUUUUUUAUUUACUUUUGCAUAUUGUUGCUUUCAGUAAUAUUCCACCCAAAGGAUAAUAUUUUUAUAUCUCUAAUUUCUACUUUGCAGCAAUGGAUAGUUGUGCUUUGGUUCCUCUAGCUUUUUUUUUUGAAGAUGUAGUUCCUCUAUCCUUUUGUAGAAACUAGGUACCUCCUGUACUUUAGGUAUAUAUAAGUCUUUUGUAGAAACUAUUGUUAAUAUCUCAAAAAUAAGAAGGUUACCUUUUCCUUUACUUGUGUACUUGGAACCAAAUCGUUCGUUACCAAUUGUAUCGGGACACUAUUUUAUAGAAGAUACGGCUUACUGUGCAUUGAAACAAUAGCCGCAGAGUUUGGUCUUUGUGUUAUCUCUAUACAUUUGAUUUGGAUUUGUCCUGAUUUAAGUAAAGAAGCCUCCGUUAAUACUGAACCGUUUUGUGUUCAUUCUGUUGUCUUCAGACAUAUGUAUUUUGAGAAUCAUUCUGAAACCAGGGUUCAAAGCGCUGAGAAAAUAUGGUUCUAUCUUGUGCUAAUGUUUCAAAGGGAGAUGUACAAAAAGAAUCAUAACUGUUGACGCAUAUCUACUAGCAGACUAAAAGAAUUGGUUGCUACUCCAUUCAAUGACUAUGUGAUUAGCAAAGUGGCUCGCAUCUUUUACUGGACAUUUUGUUUAUUAGUGUGUUUGCAUAGGAACACUGGAAUGCCCAGUAAGGUACUGAGGUGUUAUGUAACUACUAUCUUAACUCUUCUGCAGGUGUUUCUUCUCUGUUGUUUUUCUUUAGAUCUGAACCAUACCCUAUCAUAGAUAAGAUAUGUUGGAGAUUGUCUUGACGAUACAACUUCACAAUCAUAGGACAUUCUACAGGAAAUAAAUAAGUAUUAUUUUGGAUUGGACGAUGGUAUUGAACGCAUUUGUGCUUUGGGCAAUGACAGUCCACCAAACAAACCCACCAUUAAGUGCUGCUUAGAUGAUAAAGUCAUCUUCAAUGUAUACUCUUUCAAUACAUGGCUUACUCUCGGCCUUUGCACCAUCCAUCUUUUCUAAUAUAGCCUGUCUUUUAAAGCCAAUGUAUGCUAUUACCAAGUGAUCUGAAUAUUUUCUUUUAAGCAUCAAGCUUUCAUGUAAUGGAAUAUAAGUCUCUUUAAGUUAUUCUAAGUCAAUCUCAUACACAUGCUUUGAAUGCUUGGCUCGCUUUUGCUUUUUGCGCCAUGGUCAAACGUGCAGCGAUGACUUUGUCUAAUGUUUAUCACUUCAAUAUGUGCUUGCAUAAUAUUAAUGUACACUCUUUCAAUACAUGGCUUGCUCUCGGCCUUUGCGCCAUUGGCGCAACU